rnacentral:rRNA from 1 species
AUACGGAGGGUGCGAGUGUUAUUCGGAAUUACUGGGCGUAAAGAGCACGUAGGCGGAUAGACAAGUCAGAUGUGAAAGCCCGGAGCUUAACUCCGGAACUGCAUUUGAUACUGCCUGUCUUGAGUGUGGUAGGAGGGGGGUGGAAUUCCCGGUGUAGAGGUGAAAUUCGUAGAUAUCGGGAGGAACACCAGAGGCGAAGGCGACCCCCUGGGCCAUAACUGACGCUGAGGUGCGAAAGCGUGGGGAGC